AGUGGGCUUGCUUGCUUGGUGAGAGUGGCGAACGGGUGAGUAACACGUGAGUAACCUGCCCCCUUACUUUGGGAUAACGACCAGAAAUGGUUGCUAAUACUGAAUAUUCAACACAUUGUCGCAUGGUGGUGUGUGGAAAGGUUUUUCUGGUGGGGGAUGGGCUCGGCGGCCUAUCAGCUUGUUGGUGGGGUGAUGGCCUACCAAGGCUUUGACGGGUAGCCGGCCUGAGAGGGUGACCGGUCACACUGGGACUGAGAUACGGCCCAGACUCCUACGGGAGGCAGCAGUGGGGAAUAUUGCACANAUGGGCGAAAGCCUGAUGCAGCGACGCCGCGUGAGGGAUGACGGCCUUCGGGUUGUAAACCUCUUUCAGUAAGGACGCAGGCCUAGGCUUUUGUUUGGGUUGACUUUACUUACAGAAGAAGCGCCGGCUAACUACGUGCCAGCAGCCGCGGUAAUACGUAGGGCGCAAGCGUGGUCCGGAAUUAUUGGGCCGUAAAGAGCUCGUANGCAGGUUUGUCGCGUCUGUCAGUGAAAACCCACAGCUUAACUGUGGGCUUGCGGUGGGUACGGGCAGGCUUGAGUGCGGAUAGGGGAGACUGGCAAUNCCUGGUGUAGCGGUGGAAUGCGCAGGAUAUCAGGAGUGAACACCGGUGGC
rnacentral:rRNA from 1 species